ACAGAGGGUGCAAACGUUGUUCGGAAUUACUGGGCGUAAAGCGUGUGUAGGCGGUCAUGUAGGUCGGAUGUGAAAGCCCCAGGCUCAACCUGGGAAGUGCACCCGAAACCGCACGACUUGAGUAUCGGAGAGGUUGGUGGAAUUCUCGGUGUAGAGGUGAAAUUCGUAGAUAUCGAGAGGAACACCGGCGGCGAAGGCGGCCAACUGGACGAAUACUGACGCUGAGACACGAAAGCGUGGGGAGCAAACAGGAUUAGAUACCCUGGUAGUCCACGCCGUAAACGAUGGGUGCUAGGUGUCACGGGCUUUGACUCCUGUGGUGCCGUAGCUAACGCAUUAAGCACCCCGCCUGGGAAGUACGGCCGCAAGGCUA
rnacentral:rRNA from 1 species